GGGGUCCAGUGCAGUUGGCCCUCAUUUAACAAAUAAUUACACCCAUGCGUGAAAGGUCCAGUGGGGAAACAGUGCGGGGAGCCUCAGGCAGAGCUGAUUCAGGCCUGGGGAGGCACGGGAGCCACAUGUUCAGGGUCCACAGGCCCAGCGGAGUGAUACGGAAGUUUCCAAGAUGGUAAGCCUCUCUCCUGGCCCAUGCUCACCAACGGGACCCCAUUCCUAACCAGGCUUUCCCUCUCUCUCUUUUAAGUGUUCCAGGAAUGUUCCUACCCCUGCGUCUUUGCUGAAGCCCCUCUUGCCUGGGAUGCCCUCUGUCCUCUCUUUCUGCCCACACACAUCCUGCCAGUCCUUCAGACAGGGCCAGCCUCACGGGCAUAGGACCUGAGCAGUUUCACAGGGCCCUAUGCACAGAAGGAUCCCAAGCUCGGUUGAUUGCUCCGAUCUUGCCAUCUUGAAACUCUUUGAUAAUUUUAUCUUUUAUCUUGUGUUUUGGGAGUGAAAUCCAAUGGGAUAUUGGGGCCUGCAAAGGAGAAGAGGAGAUCCGCACAAACCCGUUCCUGGCUGCUGCAUUCACCUCCAGCGUUUGUGAUGCCCCAGAGCACAGAACUCCAGGGAGCCCACGAUGCAGGAGAGUUCAGCGACAUUCACUGAGUACAAGAGAACGCAGACAGAAGGCCGUGGCAUUCUGAGAAACACACAUGAUGAAGGAGCCCUGUCAUAUCCUCUCUUCCUUGCAUCGCUUCCCCGUGUGAGCAACCACUUGUGCUGGAAAUGAUGACAAGGAAGGACCGGGAAAGACAGGGCCACCCGCAGUUCCUUUUCCUUGACGUCUUUCCUUCCUCAUCAGCGAGCUGAGGUGGAGAGCGUUGGUAGAAUGUGUGCAUAAUAAGAAGUGAAAUAAAAACAGUCGAGUUAGUAUUCUACUGUUUCCACUGUUCUGGUGAGAACAAAACACAUAUGCUGUAUAUGCUUUGAAAUACAAAGUGUGUAAUUUUAGUGAUUCUGCAUAGGAGUUAAAUGUUUUUAUAUUUGCAUUUAAAACUGCCAUUGUAUACUAUAAAGAUAAAGAGUAAAAUGUAUUCUAAUAGUUUAACUUUAC
rnacentral:lncRNA from 1 species